ACGGAGGGUACAAACGUUGUUCGGAAUCACUGGGCAUAAAGCGCGCGUAGGCGGUCUACCCAGUUAGGUGUGAAAGCCCUCGGCUCAACCGAGGAAUUGCAUCUAAUACUAGUAGGCUUGAGGAUGGUAGGGGUGUGUGGAACUUCAGGUGGAGCGGUGAAAUGCGUAGAUAUCUGAAGGAACACCUGUGGCGAAAGCGGCACACUGGAUCAUUUCUGACGCUGAGGCGCGAAAGCUAGGGUAGCGAACGGG
rnacentral:rRNA from 1 species